rnacentral:misc_RNA from 1 species
CCAACCAAUACCAGAUUGAUACCCUUUCGAGCCAAUUGAAAAGCGAAACCCUUGCCAAUACCGUCAGUAGGUCCCGUUACGAGAGCCCAUGAUCCAUAGUUCUUCAGAUACUUGGCGGGUCUGAGGAAAUUGACGUAAACCCAUUUAAGGAAAGCGAAGAAGCAUUUCAGAACUGAUACAGAACCCAGAAUGAAAAGCACAAGAAGCCAAGAAGGCUGAUCCUUGAGCUUAUCGAAUAAAACAAAGCUCCAUUUUUGGAUAGUAAGCGUUUUCUUCGAUCUAAAACGAAAAGAGAGAGAUCUGAGAAAUAUAUUGGUUUCUUGAGCUUGGAAGGAAUGGGUGAGAUUCGACUGCGCAAAGAUGAGCUAACAAGGAAAACAGAGGAUAGAGUGAAACAAAUAAGAAGUACGGUUAGGCAGAAACAGUUGAGAGUGGGAGAUUUAUUAAGAUUUGAAAUGGGAAGAAGAAGGGCGGCGAAGUAGAUGAGCUGAAAACCACCAGAUUUAACUACAAAUGACGACAGCCACAACAGAACAUAAGUCUG